UACGUAGGGGGCAAGCGUUGUCCGGAAUUAUUGGGCGUAAAGAGCGCGUAGGCGGUCCGGUAAGUCGGCUGUGAAAGUCAAGGGCUCAACCCUUGAAAGCCGGCCGAUACUGUCGGACUAGAGUCCGGAAGAGGCGAGUGGAAUUCCCGGUGUAGCGGUGAAAUGCGCAGAUAUCAGGAGGAACACCUGCGGUGUAGACGGCUUACUGGACCACCACUGACGCUGAGGCACGAAAGCGUGGGUAGCAAACAGG
rnacentral:rRNA from 1 species